AGGCAGAUCCAUUCUCUGCCACCGAAUACAUUAGCAUGGGAUAAUGGAAUAGGACCCUGUCCUCCUAUUUUCAGUUGGUUUUGGCAGCGCGAGGACUAGGGUAAUGAUUAAUAGGGAUAGUUGGGGGCAUUAAUAUUUAAUUGUCAGAGGUGAAAUUCUUGGAUUUAUGAAAGAUUAACUUCUGCGAAAGCAUCUGCCAAGGAUGUUUUCAUUAAUCAAGAACGAAAGUUAGGGGAUCGAAGACGAUCAGAUACCGUCGUAGUCUUAACCAUAAACGAUGCCGACCAGCGAUUAGGAGACGUUGAAUACAAAACACCACCAUCGGUGCGGCUGUUCUUGGCGUCGGUUUCGGCCGGCGCGGGGAUGGCUUAGCCCGGUGGCACCGGUGAAUGACUCCCCUACCAGCUUGUGAGAGAGAAA
rnacentral:rRNA from 1 species